rnacentral:rRNA from 1 species
GACGAACGCUGGCGGCGUGCCUAAUACAUGCAAGUCGAACGCAGUGGGGACGGGUGAGUAACACGUGGGUAACCUCCCAUCAGAGGGGAUAACACUGGGAAACAGGUGCAAAACCGAUACUGAUGGAUGGACCCGCGGUGCAUUAGCUAGGUGGUUAGGUAACGGCUCAACAAGGCCACGAUGCAUAGCCGACCUGAUAGGGUGAUCGGCCACACUUGGACUGGACCACGUCCCAGCCUCCUACGUGAGGCAGCAGUAGGGAAUCUUUGGACAUGGACGAAAGUCUGACCGAGCAACGCCGCGUGAGUGAAGAAGGUUUUCUGAUCGUAAAACUCUGUUGUUAGAGAAGUGGUAUCUAACCAGAAAGCCACGGCUAACUACGUGCCAGCAGCCGCGGUAAUAC